rnacentral:pre_miRNA from 1 species
UUUAAAUGAAUAAUGCUAGAGACACAAACUAUUCUGCAAAUAUUUUACAAAUUGCUGAUGUGGCAUUCUCCACCUCAGCUUUUUAUGUGGGGCCAAAGACUACAUUGCAACAAUUUGUUGAUCAAUAUGUUGAGGGUGUAGUAUGUCACAUCAGUAAAAUGUUUGUAGAAUAAUUUGUGUAGGUAGCAUUACUCUUUAAA